rnacentral:lncRNA from 1 species
GGGGCAUAAUUCCUUUAUUGUACUGUGAGCAUCAGUAUAUAUUAGAGACAAAGAAAACAUGACUUCCAGGACAAGGAAAAAAACCUGGAGAUUUAAAGUUUUGCUCAUUAACAAUCAUGGAGAACCUGUAAGUUAUCUGCUGGAAUGCUUUCAGCUCAAAAGCUCGGCUUCUACAAUUACAGAACACUGAAUAUACGAUGCUCUGGAUCCCAAAAGCCACAUAUCUAAAGUUAAAUUGUGAAAGACCUGAAAAGAUACUAUGUAAAAUUUAUAAACUUGUUUUCUUCUGGGACAGAUUGAUCUUAUCUCCAAGACUCAGGGCCAUUCCCUGGCUCUUUGCACGGAUUCGUAUGUGACCGGUGACAGGAGCCUCUGGUCCAAGAUGAAUUGGCUUCUCAAUGCUGACAUUUGCAAGUGCAUCUUCUCCAAAUAUGGAACGUGCAUAAAGAUUGGCUGCCAUAAAGCCACAGUAACCAGAAAGUGCCUUCUCUGGAGUGAGGCAUUUCAUAUUGGUUGACUUCAGUAUGUGCUGCAAGUACUCAUUUAGAUCAAUGAUAUUUGUAUUCACUGUAACUUUGUUUUCCCACUCAAAUUCUGCCCACAUCUGUCUGAACUCUGCAUCCGUACAAGAGGCUGGCUGGAUAUAAUCCAUUAUGUCAAUGUGAAUAUCACUGAGAACCACGCAGUUUCUGUCGCUGGCAGCUCCAGAGACAUCAUACACUGCAAUAAGAAAUACAAACCAC